ACCCACAGGUUGAGAACCGCUGUACUAAACAGUAUUCUAUAUUUGAGAGCAUACUUGCUUAAAAAAUACAUAUUUUUAAAAAAAAGUAAAAAAAAAGCUUGAUAAAAGUUUCAAGAAUGCAAUUUGUGUGGGGGUGCUAUUACCCUAGUUAAGAGAAGCUAGGUUUACAGAGGAUGGUGAUAUCUAUGUGAGUGUGCCAACUUUUCUUAUACAAUCAUUUUCCUGGCACCUAUGUUUUAUCUAGCUUUUCAUGCUCUAGUUAAAAGACUAUUAAGAUCAUAUAAUUUGUUUAAAUUGUAAACCACUUUGUGUUGUGAUUUUAUUGUGCUAUAGAAAUAAUUUAAGUAAUUUAAGAGCCAUGUCUCUUGUUUUUCAGGAGGAAAUGCAAACAAUUGAAAAGGCUACGAAACAAAGAAGAUAUUAAUUAUUGGGGGGGGAAGGAACCCUGAAUCAUUUUCAAUCACUUUGCAUUAAUUUUGCUUCAAGGAUUGGAAAAUUACAAUGAAUCUGUAGACUCUUCCAUUGAUUAUACUUCCUCAGAAUUUGGGCUCUGGCAACUGCCAGACAAUGAUAAGACAUUCCCACCAACCAUCUGGUGUCUGCCAAAUGGAGUGUCUAGUCAAGUUAUACUCUAGUAUUUGCCGAAAGAAAUUCAGCGUCUUCAUCAGGAAAGAUAGGGAAAAAAAACAGUGCUCUUUCUUAAAGAAUAAAGCGGAUAUCUAAAUGGCUAUAAAAAGUGUUUUAGUGUGGCUCCUACAGGGGACAAGGAAGUCCCACUAUUGAAUACAUUUUUAAAACAACCAAGAUGAAAAUUGUCAUUAAUGUAACAAUGUUAAUAUGCAGAUCCCUUUAUUGUGUCUUUUCUCAACAUCUCAGAAUAAUGUAAAUUGUAAGCUGCACUUAUUUUUCAUAUCACUUAUGAUAAUAUACAUAGGUUUUAUAUCCUCAUACAUGUCUGUAUUCUUUAGUUAUAUAAGACUGCAAUGAGCCAUUACAUAGGAAAAUCUGCUAUUCUGAUUUGGAUUUCGUUCUUUCAGUCUUUAACCUUUACAUGAAGAGCUUUUCUGUAGGUUAACAGACUGCAGUGUUCCAUGUAGAAUUAUCAUUAUCAACAGAUUAGAGAAAAAGAUAAUAUCCCCCAUAAUCCUUCCAAGGUCUAGUCGUGCCAAUGCAAUCCAUGUAUAUAGGCCUCUCAGCUAAUUUAAGGAUGAAGUUUUGAAUACAGCUCCAUUGAGGGGUCUAAACUUGGCAAUGUUGCAACAAACACAAUUACCAUGUUUCCACAAAAAUAAGACCUACCCUGAAAAUAAGCCUUAGCUUGAUUUUUACACAUGCGCCAAAUAUAAGCCCUACCCCCAAAAUAAGCCCUACUUAAGACCCCACCCACUCCAUUGCAGUUGAUUGCUCAAGGUGGGGCGAGGCACACGGGUAAAAAUCAAGGUAGGGCAGGGAUUGGAGGUGGAGCUGCUCCACAUGGCCUGCACCCCCUUACC